GUCCGGGUGGUGGAAUUGGUAGACACGCUACUUUGAGGGGGUAGUGGCCGUUGGGCUGUGUGAGUUCGAAUCUCAUCUCGGACACCU
rnacentral:tRNA from 5 species